rnacentral:rRNA from 1 species
UACAGAGGUCUCAAGCGUUGUUCGGAUUCAUUGGGCGUAAAGGGUGCGUAGGUGGCGCGCUAAGUCAGGUGUGAAAUUUCGGAGCUUAACUCCGAAACUGCAUUUGAUACUGGCGUGCUUGAGGACCUGGAGAGGAGACUGGAAUUCAUGGUGUAGCAGUGAAAUGCGUAGAGAUCAUGAGGAAGACCAGUGGCGAAGGCGGGUCUCUGGACAGUUCCUGACACUGAGGCACGAAGGCCAGGGGAGCAAACGGGAUUAGAACCCAG